UACGGGGGGGGGCAAGCGUUGUUCGGAAUUACUGGGCGUAAAGCGUGCGCAGGCGGUGAUGUAAGACAGUUGUGAAAUCCCCGGGCUCAACCUGGGAAUUGCAUCUGUGACUGCAUCGCUAGAGUACGGUAGAGGGGGAUGGAAUUCCGCGUGUAGCAGUGAAAUGCGUAGAUAUGCGGAGGAACACCGAUGGCGAAGGCAAUCCCCUGGACCUGUACUGACGCUCAUGCACGAAAGCGUGGGGAGCAAACAGG
rnacentral:rRNA from 1 species